rnacentral:SRP_RNA from 1 species
GCCUGGCACAGUGGCGCAUGCCUGUAGUCCCAGCUGCCCCGCAGGCCGAGGCAGGAAUACCGCCUGAGCCCAGGACUUCUGGGCUGUAGCGCACUCUGCCGAUCAGGUCUCCACACUGAGUCUGGCAUCAAUAUGGUGAUCUCCUGGGAGUGGGGGACCACCAGGGUGCCUAGGGAGGGGUAAACCAGCUCAGGUCAGAAACGGAGCAGGUUAAAACUCAUGCGCUGACCAGUAGUGGGAUCAUGCCUGUGACUAGCCACUGCACUCCGGCCUGGGCAACAUAGCGAGACCUCGUCUCU